UGACAGGUUUCCUAAAAGGUGGUGAUG
rnacentral:piRNA from 1 species